rnacentral:rRNA from 1 species
UCCUGGCUCAGAUUGAACGCUGGCGGAAUGCUUUACACAUGCAAGUCGAACGGUAGAGGGGGCAACCCUUGAGAGUGGCGAACGGGUGAGUAAUAUAUCGGAACGUGCCCAGUCGUGGGGGAUAACGUAGCGAAAGUUACGCUAAUACCGCAUACGAUCUACGGAUGAAAGCGGGGGACUCGCAAGAGCCUCGCGCGAUUGGAGCGGCCGAUAUCAGAUUAGGUAGUUGGUGGGGUAAAGGCUCACCAAGCCAACGAUCUGUAGCUGGUCUGAGAGGACGACCAGCCACACUGGAACUGAGACACGGUCCAGACUCCUACGGGAGGCAGCAGUGGGGAAUUUUGGACAAUGGACGCAAGUCUGAUCCAGCCAUUCCGCGUGCAGGAUGAAGGCCCUCGGGUUGUAAACUGCUUUUGUACGGAACGAAACGGUGAGCUCUAAUACAGUUUGCUAAUGACGGUACCGUAAGAAUAAGCACCGGCUAACUACGUG